rfam:Enterococcus ratti strain DSM 15687 Scaffold33, whole genome shotgun sequence.
CCACAGCUACAACCGCACAGAAUGAGUUUAUGAAGUACAAUUGUUGUCACUCAAGAUGGCGAGUCUAAGUUUAUUA